GGACGACAUAAUUUUGACAGGUGAUCAUGAAGAGAAAAUUGACUUACUUAAAAAAUUACUGACAAAGGAAUUUGAGAUCAAGGAUCUUGGAAACCUCAAGUACUUUCUCGGAAUGGAGAUUGCUAGGUCAAAGAAAGGUAUAGCAGUCUCACAACGCAAAUACGUUCUGGACUUAUUGAAUGAAACAGGAAUGCUAGGAUGCAAGCCGGCAGAAACACCUAUGGAUACAACUGUCAAACUGGAAGAAAGUGAUGGAAGUGCGCCAGUUGAUAAAGGAAGAUAUCAACGUCUUGUGGGGAAACUCAUCUAUCUUUCUCAUACAAGGCCAGACAUCGGCUUCUCCGUUAGUGUGGUAAGUCAAUUCAUGAAUAAUCCAACCGAAAAACACAUGACUGCUGUGAUCAGAAUAUUGAGAUACCUCAAGAUGACACCGGGAAAGGGUCUCUUCUUUCAAAGAACAACAAAGAAAGAGAAUGAAAUUUUUUCAGACGCAGAUUGGGCAGGUUCAGUGACUGAUCGGAGAUCAACUUCAGGCUAUUGUUCAUUUGUCUGGGGGAACUUGGUUACAUGGCGAAGCAAGAAACAGUCAGUGGUAGCCUGUAGCAGUACUGAGGCAGAAUUUCGUGCUAUGGCACAAGGUAUCUGCGAGGGAAUCUGGUUGAAUAGGCUGUUAGAAGAAUUACGGGUUCCAUUGAAGCAUCCCAUGGUGUUAUAUUGCAACAAUCAAGCUGCCAUCAGUAUCGCUAAGAAUCCGGUUCAUCAUGAUCGAACUAAGCACGUGGAGAUAGAUCGACACUUUAUCAAGGAAAAGAUUGAAGAAGGAGUUUUCAAAGUCAGCUACACUCCGACAAACUGUCAAACGACUGACAUUCUCACAAAAGCUCUUGCUCGAGUUAACUUCGAAGAUCUGACAGAAAAACUUGGAAUGAUCAACAUCUACAACGCGGCUUGAGGGGGAGUGUUGGAAAUCAAGCCAGCAUCCUCUAUUUACUUCCCUAAUUAGUGUAAUGUACAGCCUUUAUUAUAAUUGAUUUAGGAGUAAUUCUAGUAAGGUAGUUUAUUCACUUUCCAUGUAAGAGUAGUUUAUUCACUUUCCAUGUAAGAGUAGUUUAUUUACUUUCUAUGUAAGAGUAGUUUAUUUAAUUCCCAUGUAAGAGUUUAUUCACUUUCCAUGUAAGGGAAAUUCCAUUCCGGAAUUGUCUCAUAUCCAUAGGCUAUUUAUUUAUGCUUUCAUUCAUUGUAAAGGGAGGUAUCACAGAAUGAAUUGAGGUGUUCCUCCAUAUUUUGUCUUCAAAUUCCUUCAUAUUUUUCUUCAAAUUCUUCAGCAUGAAUUAAUAUCACAAAUUCCAUUAUUUUGGAAUUAUGAAAAAUUCAUUCAUGCUUAUUAAAAAUAUUGAAAAAUGAGAAAAUUAUUAAAAACCAAAUAAAAUCACAACAUGCAUGCCUGAAUAAAAAAAAUGGUGGCAAGUUUAUUAAAAAUUAGGUUUUGGUGAAUCAGGAUUUUAAUGAAGAAAAGAAAAAAAAGAAGAAAAUAACAAUCAUAAUAAUAAUAAUAAUAAUGACAAACAAAUAAAUAAAUGAAUAAAAGAAAGUAAAAUAAUAAAAUAAAUAAAUAAAUAAUUAUAUGAAAUAUGAAUAAAUAAAAUAAUUAAAUUAGGUGAAUAAACAAAUUAAAUAAAUAAAUUUAAAAGAUUUGAAACCAUUUGAAAGACAAAUUUUUGAAAAUCAAGUUUUGAAACUUAUUUGAAAAUUGAAGUUUUAAGAACUAAAUCAUAAAUUUGGAAUUUUAGAAAAAUAAUUUGAAAUUGGAAGUCAUGAAAAUUGGAACUUGGAAAAAUUAUUUGGGAAUGAGAUUUCUUAAAAAUUAAAUCUGAAAAUUAGAAUUUUAGAAAAUUAUUUGAGAAUGGAAAUUUCUAAAAGAAUAAAUUUGAAAAUUGGAAUUUUGAAAAAUUAUUUGAAAAUUAAAGUUUGGAAAAUUAAAUUUGAAAUUUGGAGUUUUAAAAAUUAUUUGAAAGAAAUUGGAGUUCUGAAAAUGAAAUUUGGAAUUUUAGAAUUUUUGGAAAAUUAAAUUUAAAAAUUUGAAUCUUGGAAAACUAAAUUCAAAAUUAGAGUCUUAGAAAAUUAUUUUGAGAAUUGAAUUUUCAAGAAUUAAAUUUUAAAAUUGGAGUUUUGGAAAAUUGAAUUUCGAGAAUUAAAGUUUUGAAAAUUAUUUAAAAAUUGGAAUUUUAAAAAUUAAAUUUAAGAAUUGGAGCUUCAAAAGUUAAAGUUUUGAAGAUCAUUCAAAAGUUAUAGUUUUGAAAAUUAUUUAUGCAAGUGGAAAACACGUGUAUGUGGGCUUGGGACUAAACGAUUAAAUGGCAAGUUGUCUUUGAAUUACAUAAUCGAAAUUUUCAUCGUAACUUCUGGAGGCUGCCAAUUAUGGAGAGUAUCAAAGCUGGGAAUAAAUAAAAGCUGGCCACGUGCACAUUGAAAUGGUUAUACAUAUGGAUUGCAAGCAUAUAGGAGAGAAUAGCAAGGAGCUGGUAGUUAGGUGGGUUAGGUGAUUGAAAAGUGAAGAAAUGAUCUGGAAUGGUUGGAGCUAGGGACCAAAGAUGCCCAACUUUUGCAUGACCCCAUUGAUCACGUUCACAUGUCAUUGCCCAUGCAAGAGUGUUCCCAGUCGUUGGUCAUAUACUCAUGUGUAUCCUCCUGUCUCGCAUUCUGAAGUUCCAAGAUAUGCACCAUGAGUUAGAGAUAAGAUCCUUGGGUGCUAAUAUUCUUCCAGUUGACUGAAGAGCACGACUGACAUGCUUCUGGAUAGCACACAAAGUGCAAAAUCCAACAAUAUGACACGAAUUUUGAUGCUUUCAGUUUUGCAAACAUGUUGCUAAAGACUCUGUUCUCCAUAUGAUCAGUCUCAUAUCUCUUCCUCCCACUCGAAGCCGCCAGACCUAUACUGUGCCUAGGUCACUUCGGAUCCGUGAUGGGGUUCGGAGUCUCUUGUCGAAAACCUCCUCUGUUGUCGUUAGUGAAGCCUAAGAAAGGCUUUCUUGUGAGAUGAAACUCGGUUCUUCUGUAGAACAAGGACCCAACUAAAGACGGGUGCGGCGAAGCUAAGGGACCAUUUUCCUGAGCAUUGGCUUAUGAGAAGACCAUUCAGAUGGGUGUAUGAGUUUAAUGGAUGUGAGGAAUGAGAAUAUGAGUGAUAGAGCAGACACGUAGGGCAAGUUAUUAAUGAAGGUAUGAGGGAUGAGGAUGUGUGUGGUGGAACAAAUAAGGAGUGGAGGAUGAAACCUGGAAGUGUUGAGGAACGGAACCUAAGUAGUGUCGGGUGGGUAAAACUGAUGAAUAUUUGGCUUGGGAUUUGGGUCUGAUAGAGAGGCUUUGAUUGAGGCUUUGCAAAUGUGGCCAUGCAUGAGUUAUUUACAUGCUUAUGAAUGGUGGGGGGUGGGGGGAGGAAACUCAAACCAGAUUUGAAAAUAAGAACAAAUUAUCCCCAAGCCAAAAGCCAAAGUAAAAAUAAAUAAAUAAACCAACAACAACACACCUAUGAAUGACUCAAAAAUCUAAUAAAUUCAAACACAUAACCUGAUGUUCACGCUUAGCAAACAAUCCACAAAAAGAAAUAGCAAGAAAUAAGAAGAAAUUAUUAUGAAGAAGCAGAAUCGAGAAUUGACAACAAUCAUAUCUGAGCAAGUCUUCUCGAUUGAAGCUCACCCCACUUCCAAGCUUUUCUCUUUUUUUCUUUUCAAAACAAAAUGGAUCUCACCUUAGCUUUCUCUUCCUACCUUUCGGUUUCUUCUCCCUGUUCCCUUUUGAUACCCGUUCUCCCCAUUUUUUCCUUCUCCCAAAACCUCACCUGCUCCAAACUCUCUCACACGUCUCUUUCCCGUCCCAUUUUUAGACUUCUUUUCUACAUCCAUUUUUUCACCUUUCUCCCAUGUUCUUUCUUUUCAUGCAAGCUCUAAUCGGCUCCCUGCUUCAACCAUCAUUUCAUCUAUUUUGUUCCAGCCAUCCCCUUCCCCAACAACUCCUUCAAAUGAAAUGCCUAGUUUACUCGGUCUCAAUGAGGGGUGGUAAAAAAUAAAAAUAAAAAAAACCUUUGGUUUAUAAUGGGGUCUAUAGUGGUAUUUAUUUUUUACUUUUCUCUAAAAUUUGAAUAAACCUAAAUUAUUAUUAUUUUUUAUCUUAAUUUUAAAAUGUCAAAAAUCGUUAAUCUAUUUUCUAUUUGUAGUAUGAAGAUUCGAAAAAUUCUUACUUCCCAUAAUGUUUGAACUUAUAUUUACCAUUUUUUUCUUCUUGAUCUAACAACAAGCUUGACUGCACAAACUUAGUCAGCAAUGAGAAUAAAAGUGACGAGGGUGAUAAAGUUCUCCCUAUACUGUAAUCCUGAUGGACUAAAAGGCCCAAAAUUCAUCUUAAUGGGUCAAAGUGAAGCCAUGAGCCUCUUUACAAUAGAUUAAAUUGAUUAUGGCCCAAAAUAAUACCCAUGCACAACCAAACAUAGUUUACAAUAUAUGUAGUCCAAUAACAUAAUUUCAACAUAUGAUUACAUUUUACUCUCCCUUUAAUGUUAAAUGACUUGAAAUAGUAAAAAGUUUUAUUUGAAAAUUUUUAUAUUUUCAAACUCUUGAUUCCUCUUUAUAAAUGUGGAUAAAGUUAAAGUUAGAGAAAUAAUGAAAAGAAUUAUUAAAAUUUAUUAAUCUUGAAGAGAAGUAUAAAAAAUGAAAAAUUAAUGAAAAAUUUUAUUAAAAUUUGCUAAGGUUAAUAUUUUUUUGUUAAUUUAUUUAUUACUUUAUUUUUCUUCAAUGUUAUUUUUCCUAGUAAUAUAAAUGUGGAUUUGGGAAGUACAUAUGCCAUUAUAUGACCCAAAAAUUAUUGGUUAUAGAAUAUUAGAAAUUCCGUAAUAACAUAAUUCACAUACAUUUUAUCUCAAAGUUAAAAUAGUCUUACCAGUUGUUAUAUAUCUAUUAGUGUAGUAGAUUUUGAGCUUGUCUUAAAAGUUCUUGCCUAUUGAUGCCUUUAUCAACUACUUUGCAAACCAAUUAUCCAAACUUGAAACACAAGAUGGUUGGGUGGUCAUCCAUCACAUCGCUUAUGGUUAAGUCAAUGGAUAACAAAAAAAGAAAGUGUUGAGAGUAGAUGCAAAAAUAAAUAUGGGAAUACGAGUGAGAGGAUAUGAUAGAUGAAGCUUAUUCUCUCUACUAGAACUUGAUCGGACCUUUAUAGUUCAUUACGUUAACCUAACCGCUAGGAGGUAAGUAGUUACCAUGUUAAAAAAAUUGGAAAAUAUUAAGGAAUGGAAUUGGUUACUAUUGACUUCCACCUUGAUUGUUGACUUUUGAAAAAUUAAUUUAGAUUGUUGGAUAAAGAUACAAAGAAAUAAGAAAAAAGCAUAAAAGUUCAAAUAAAUUAAACAUGAGAUCUAAAGGUACCAACUAGUGACCAAGACACCGAUUGGUGAUGUCUUUUCAAUAUCUAUAGGAAAAAAAGUACAUUUCGGUAUUAUGGUAAGAUCUUAAAACCCUUCUGUAUGUCUAGUGAUUGUUCAUUUUCUGGGGCGUUGAAAAGAAUUGUUUCUCCAACUAUAUUACUACCAUCACCGAUGUCCUCAUCAGUCAUGAGGCCUAGAUCAAUGACCAGCUUCGAUUCUAUCUUUUCUUCUCCAAAAUACUCUUGUGCAUUUCAAAUUAGGAGCCAAAAUCUGGUCAAAGAGAAACAAUAACCCAAAUUCAAUUCGGUUAACCAGCCAUUGAUGAAAGGUCUCUACAGAUUGUUGUAUUCUUCGCUUCACGGUGAUGAAAUGUAUAUCCGGGGACUGAAUCACUAGCUAUUUAAUUCGGCUUUCAGAUCUCUAGUUUCGGUUCUUAUGCUAGCCAUGUUCGCCACCAUGGCAUUGAUUUAUGUUGUCGACCGGUGAGUUCUCGCACUGUUUUGUAUUGUGAAAUGUUUUUUCGUUUCUUAGUUGUAAUAGUGCUCAUGGUGUGGUUAAUUUCAUUAAUUUAGGUUUUUUUUUUAAUUAUAAUUGGUCUAUUUUUUUUUAAAAAAAAAAAAAUUGUUUUUAUCAAAAUUUGCUAUUGGUAGGCUAUGGUUGGAUUCUAAGAAUAAGGUUUAUUUGAUUAAAGAGCUUGAUAUUGUUAUUCAAUUGUAGCUUCAAAUUUUCUUCCCCAUAGUUUGUUAAUGCAUUUUUUGGGACUAUUUUGUUAUCGUGAUUAAAUUAUAGAAUUAUAAUGAUACAAAUGGGGUUUUGACAUUGUAUAUAUGGAAUCGGAAUCAGUCCAUCAUGAUUUAAAUUAAUUAUAUGUUCUAUAACAUUACAUUGCAAUGCCAAAUAAACUGGUGAUUUGCAUGAGCUCAUUUUUUUUUCUUUUCUUUCAUUAUGUUUUUGUCUUUUUUUUUUUCUUUUAUUGAAAUGCAUUACAUUUCCUAUUUUCAUUUUUCGAAAUUAAUCAUUUAGAGUAAUUGACUAGAUAAUGGGUUUUUCUAUUUUAAUAGUUUUUAGGUACAAUGAGCCAAUGACACAUUGCAAAUUAUAGCAUGCAAGUAAAUAAAUUAUAGCUAUCCUUCCUUCAUGUGGGGUUCUUUUUUUUGGGCUUUUGUUAUAAUAGAUAAAAUAUAAUCUAGAGGUCAUGGUGAUGGUUCUUCAAUUUUAUAAGAACAAUAUAAGAAGUUAGCAGCCCCGUAAGAUGGAGUUAGUUGCAGCAUAACAGGAAGAUUUUAUCUCAAAGAACUUGCUAGAAAAUAAGAAGACGACUCCUAAGAAAAAGCUUUUAGCUAUUGUAGGAAUUAUGACAAAGUUUGGCCACAAGAACAAUAGAGAUGCAAUCCAUAGGGCAUGGAUGCCAACUAGUAUAAUACCCUUCCUUUUGUAAGUUUUGCUCUUUAUUCUUUGUAUGAUUUACAUAGAGAAUAACCCAAUUGCCACUUAACAGAUUGACAUUUCUGUUAUAAGCAUAUAAAGGAAAAAAAAACAGGAAGCUUGUAGGUUGAACUCUUAUUAACAUGAAAACUUUUAGUGGACUACCAUUUCUCUUCUAUUCUUUUUUCAUUGUUUCGUUUAUUUUCUUAGUUUGCAAUAGUCAUAUUUCAAUAGUUUGCAAACUCCAUAAACCAAUUUGAAAAACCUUGAAGUUAACAGGUGCAAAUUAUGAGAAGCUAAAAUCUUGUUUCUCUAGGAUUUUUUUGAAGUUACUCAAUUGAAUGGAGAACAUAAAACUAUCAAGAGGCCCUGCCCCUACCCCUACCCUGCACCCUCUAUACCCCUGUUUACAGAAAUUUUGAGUUUGUCUUUAAAGUAAUAAGGAAGACAAUAGUUUGUAUAAUAAUGAAACAGGAAGUAAUAUUGUGAUUCAUUGCUGCAAAAAGUAAUAUUGACAUAACUUAUGUGUUAAACUACACUUAAAUGCUUAGCACAAAAGUAUGUUAUUCUUCAUUUGAGAGCAUUAAUUUAAACCUUAUAUGUUAGCAUCACUUUUUCCAUAACUAAUUUUUUCCCCCUUAUCCAAGACAAUGCAUAUCGAGUGAUUGAUUCUUAAGUUAAUAGCCUUGGCACCCACAUGGGGUGAAGUUUGAAUCCAGAAUUUCCCAAUAGUCUUAAUACGCUUCCUCGAGUGUGUUCAAACUUAAGACGUCAAUGGUAAACCACCACUUUACCAAACAAUUUUAAGUUACUAAGUAAUAGGCUAGCAAUGGGAUAUUAAGCUUGAGCAAUUCUUUUAUAAUGUUUAAUGGUUUAAACGUUGACAAUUAAAACACUUACAAAAGCAUGAUGACUUACCCAUUAUUUUUGUACAAAUACUUUAAAAGCAACUCUUGCUACUCAUUUGAAUAAGCCUCGAGUUCAUAUUGGGUGUAUGAAAUCAGGCAAAGUUUUCUCAAAUUUGUGAGUAUAAUCAAAGUUUUUUUUUCUUCUAAAGAUGAGAAAACGAGUUGUUUAUGAUAUUCUACUUUCAUAAAAACUAUGAGAAAACAAUCUGUUAAGCAUUGCCAUCAUGGAAGAUAUUGAACCUAAAGUCCAAAAGAUGUAUGAAAGCACAACCAAAGAAAUCGAGGACUGAUCUACACCUUCUCCUAAUCGAGAGAGGAGUGUGAGGUCAUGUGUCAUGGUGAGAUGUGUGGGAUAAAAGAAUGUAAUGAUCAAGCUCUAGUAAGAUAGAAAACACGAAAGUAUCAAAGGUGAAAUGUUUGAGUAAGAAAUGAAAGGUAGGCAGACAUUCGAAAUCAUCCAAGUAUGCCAAGAAGACUAAACCUAAGGUGUCAAUAGCUCCAUAAUCCAUCAAAAGCAGCAAUCAUAAACAAAAAGUCAAGUCUCGAUGUCAAAACAUCUACCAAUCAAUAUCAUCAACAUCCCAAUCAAUCUACUGAAGACUAGGAAGAGAGGGAACUGCAUGUGUAAAAUGUGUAGGCAGGGGAUUGGUGGUCACACUUGGUCCAAACAAGUUGACCAACCUUGAAUCAAUCAAGUCCUUUAUCACAUGAUGGAGCGCCACACAACACUCAGCAUCAUGCCCUUGAAUAUGAUGAUAUAAGCAAUACUCAUGUAAGCAAAAAUGAGGAAGAAUAGGAUACGGCAAAGGGCGUGGUGCCAAAGAAACAAUCACACCAGCGUCUCUGAGUUUUUCAAAAGCUCUAGUCAAAGUCAUGCUCAAUGGAGUGAACUGUAUCGUGAGCCUUGGUGCAUAUGGUCUAGGUAAUAGGGGAGUAGCUCGGAUGUGGUGGCCGUGAUUGCAUGCUAGUCCGAGCAAUGUAAGGCUGCUAAACAUAAAUUGACUGAUACGAUGUUGUGGAUGAGAGAAAUGAGCUCUAAUUGUAGGAGGCCUAUAAAGCGAGUGAUAUGCAAGCCUUUGAUGCUGAUAGCUAAUGGUGUCAACCUCUCCAGACCUACUAGAUAAUCUAACCGGCUUCUUUCCCUUAUUGUUAGGGGAAGGAGCAGUAUUUGUCCAUAAUCCUAGAGCAAUGGCCUCCUCAACACUGAGAGCUGCAUGAACUAGACUCUUAAGAUCCUGAAAUGGAAUGCCCACAAGGCGUCUAACAAACCUUGGCUAUAGGUUCCGAAGAACCAUAUCAAUCUGAUCCCGCUUCUUAGGUCAGUUUAUCAUACCUGCCACAUUUGCCCUCCAACAAUUGACAAAUGAGGAAAUAGACUCGUCUAACCUCUGUCUGGUGGCCUCCAACUCUCGUCUAGAUACAUCAAUGUCAGCACUAAAAGCAAACUGAGUCAAAAAAUCAUGAGCCACAUCCUCUUAGGUGCGAAGUCUCGAAGGCUUAACUAAGGCAAACCAUCUCUAAGCUACUUUACUAAGUGACAAAGGGAAAAAAACCACUAAUUGUGCAUCAUCUAUCCCCUGUGCUCUCAUGACUGUGUUGUAUAGUCUCAAACGGAUCUUGGGACAACCAAUCCCACUAUAACGUUCAAUGUUUAGCAUGCAAAACUUGGUAGGCAAGCUAGCCGUCGGUAUGCCAUCCUUAUCAUCCCAAGUCAAACCUCCAUCCUGUAAUCUAAUCUACCUCAUCUUGGACUCAAGCCUCUCAACCUUGGCCUCAUGCUCGGCCAAUCUAGUAUCAUCAGUAGUAGUAACAAUGGAAGGCGACACUGUGGUAACAUGUGGUGGAGCAGUCUCACAAUGAUUUGAUAGAUGGAAUGAAACGUCAUGUGAAGUCCCAGGUGGAAGAACCUGUGUUGUCUAAGAUGCAUAGGAAACUGUCUCAUCAGUGCUGAUGCCGACUAGAUGAUGAUCUUGGCGAGAACUCUCAAUCUGAUCCAAACGUCUACUAACCCUUGCCAUGAACUCCUAAAUAGAAGCAAGUGUAGAAGCUAGCUCGUCUGACAUCUCAACUAAACUGUUUGAACUUUGAUGUGAAUCUGCUCUGAUCAAUUGACCUCCAAUUCUCCUCCAAGAAUGUGAGUCCAAACUCAACCAACUCCUAAAUUGACUCCCUACAAUGCAAACGAAAUGGAUGGACACAAGAUAGAACCCUAAAAGACAACCAUACAACAUGUAAACACAUGAUCCUGAGGUGGCAAUCCGAAAUCUGGAUGUAUGAUGAGAACUCUGGAGUCAUAAAGGUGUCCACUAUGAGAUGGCUACAAUUGUGACUAGAGAAUUCCUAUCAAUAAUCCAAUAUGAAAGAGGUGUGAGAAACACAAUAUCACAAGAUUGAUGCUCCAUCUAUAACCACAUAUCCUUAACUUAACCUUGAACUUGAGCUCCAUAAAGAGAAAAAAAAAAUACGGUGAUCAAGGCGAAUCUCUGGAAAAAAUGUGACUGUGAAAACAUGUUUUUCACCUUUCCGUAAUGAAAAUGUGAGCAUCGAGUUGAAAAUUGAAUCAAUGAUCAAACAAAGAAUGAGAUAUUGGGCUCGUGAUAGGUGUACAGUGUAAAAAGAUGAUCAUGAUCAACAAACAUAUCCCAAAGCAUCCAACAAGCGACAACAAAAAGAAAGGAUGUGUCAAGCUAAGAAAUAAAUAUGAAAGCCCUAGGGAGAAAACAAGCUAAACUCAAUGAGCGACAAAAAGAAACCAAAACUAUACAGCAAUGGGUGGUCCAACUGAUACUCAAACUUGCAUUGAUCUCUAAGCACUCUCAACUAAAGACCAAAAGAGGGAGUAUUGGAUCCGAACUGUAACUAAAGAGGCUCUAAAAGUUCUUAGAUGCACCCACGUGUAGGGAAAGGAAUCCUAAUUGAAGGAUCUAAGGCUUUACUUAUAAGGUCAAUGUGGCUCUAAAAAGAAGAAAUAUAGGCUUUCAAGGGUCCCUAGUAGAAGCGAUCAUAUCCUUUGGCAGUAUGCAACCCUUUGUAUGCCUCCAAAGAGACAGGGCGCUUCCAUGUAAGGUGGUCAUUACCUCCACACAUGCACUACCUCGCAGCUCAGAGAACUCCUAUGGUGAAGGCUCUCCUAAUGACUGACGUAUCUCACAACUCUGAUCACUCAUCGACAACCUAAGGUGCAUAGUGAGUGGCGUGGGUGCAUCCAAAAAUCCUAUGAAACUAAAAGAAAACACACUGGACACACAAAUAUCCUGAAAUCUAGCUCUAAGCUAUACAAGUCUUCAAAGGUCAUACUCUAAUCAACAUUGUUAGCAGAUCGAAGGGUUGGCUGCGUCCAUCAACUCCCCUUAUGUUCGCCGUGGGCGCUUGGGUGAAUGCAUUAUAAGGGUAGGGUAUGCGUCUUUCCUACAAACAAUUGCUUUUAGGAGAGUUGGUAGCGUCUGAGGUCCUACAAGUGGUAUCAGAGCCAAGGUCACGGGUUCGAACCCUAGGGGUGUCGUUGAGGGGGAGAUUGUUGGCAGAUCGGAGGGUUGGCCGCGUCCAUCAACUCCCCUUGUGUUUGCCGUGGGCGCUUGGGUGAAUGCACUAUAAGGCUAGGGUAUGCACCUUUUCUACAAGCAAUUGCUUUUAGGAGAGUUGGUAGUGCCUGAGGUCCUACAAACAUCAAUGUGUCGACCACCUCCAAAAUGCUCCCAAACAUAGAUAUAACCCAUCGCUAGACCCUACUCCUAACCACUAGCUCAGUCAAAGAACAAACAAAGCAACAAGUCUCAUAUUGAAUACAAGAUCAAGGAAAACAAGGUCAACCAAGACUAGGGACUUGGAGACAAGAGGAUAGGUGUGUGUCCCACAUAGACAAGCAACUCAUGCAAUCACACAGAAUGAGAGAAGUUAUACAACAGAUAGUCAUGCAAAACACAUGUAUAUCAUCCAAAUCUACACACAACCUAAGCAAGAAAUAUGAUAAUCAAGAUAAUAACUAGCAAGAAUAGCAUGCUCCAAGAUGAUCAAGAUAAUAUACAAGCAAGAGAGCCAACACUAAGAUAAACAAGACAUACAACAAUGUGAAUAUACAUGUCAAAGUGAGCAAGAAAAUCAUGGCAAGAGUAGAUUCAAUCAAUAUCAUCAGCAUGCCAAUGUCGCAAAUGGAUAUAGCAAUCAAACAUAGAAAGUCACCACAUCAAAAUCCUCAAUGUGCUAUGAUCACUCAAGCAUAGAGAAGCACAAAGGGAGGGUAUCCAUCAACCGAAUAAUCAAAUGCCACAUUUGCCUUAACUUGAAUUCAAGUUCGACCCUCAAAAAUUCCCUAGUGGAGUCGCCAUUUUGUGUACCCCACAUUUCUAGCACGAUGCUUUCCCACUCGAUGAUGCGACUCGCUUUUUAUUUAUUCAAUGAAAAUAUGAUUUUUAGAAAAAAAAAACUUGGAGUCGUCACUUAUUUUUGUUUUAUUUUUUUUAAGGAAAAAUAAAAUAAGAAAGAAAACCCUAAGUGUGACUCCUUAUUUGGAAAAGACGGUCUGUGAAAAACCAAAUCUAGGUUCGAGGGUUAGAUUUCCUAGUGGGAAGGUACGGUGGUGAGACGUAACACCCCUCUAAGCCCUAUAAUAAGGUCUCUACUAAUAAGGUGAGACAGAUGUGACAAUUGAUAAGGAAAUCAAUGGAUACCAAUGAAAUGAUCAAAUAAUAAAACGAAUCAUGCAUAAGAAUAAGUGGGAGUAAGAUCGUACCUUAGCAGCAAGUAAUAGUGCGCUAUCAUGGAGACAAAGUUAGCUCAAGUAUAAUAUUAUCACAUGCAUAUCAAAGAACAAGACAAAGAUCAAACAAUAUUCAUUAAGCAUAACUGUUGACAAUCAAAAGAGAAAACUUAUAUGUAGGGCCCCCACUAAAGCCCAAUUUAUUUUGUUAUGAAUUAAUUAUCAUAAAUUCCACUAUUUUGGAAUUAUGAAAAUUUAUUCAUUUUUAUAUUUAAAAUUUUGAAAAUGAGAGCUUUGAAAAUUAAACUUGAAAUUGGAAUUUUGAAAAUUUAUUUGAAAAUGAAAGUUUUGAAAAUUAAAUUUUAAAAAUUGGAAUUUUGAAGAAUUAUUCAAAAAUUAAAUUUAAGAUGAAAAUUGGAAUUUUUGAAAAUUAUUUGAAAAUGAAAGUUUUGAAAAUUAAAAUUUAAAAUUGGAAAUUUGAAGAAUUAUUCGAAAAUGAAAGUUUUGAAAAUUAAAUUUGAGAUGAAAAUUGGGAUUUUGGAAAAUUAUUUGAAAAUGGAAGUUUUGAAAAUUAAAUUUUAAAAUUGGAAUUUUGAAGAAUUAUUUGAAAAUGAAAGUUUUGAAAAUUAAACUUGGAAAUUGGAAUUUUGGAAAAUUAUUCGAGGAAGUUUUGAAAAUUAGAUUUGGAAAUUGGAAUUAAAAAAAAAAUUAUUUGAGAAUGAAAUUUUUGAAAAUUGGAAUUUUGAAAAAACAACAUUUCAAGAUUAAAGUUUGAGAUUAAAUUUUUGUUGGUUUGUAGCCACACAAUUUCAAAGUCCACUAGUGUGUUACAAUUGGACACAAAAUCCCACAACCUUAAUCUUGAAUCUGACUGCACUCUGAAGAUUUAAUAAUAGCACCAAAAUGACUUCUGCAACUAAUGAUAGCACUAACAAUGAUGGUCGACAGCCAAACUGCAACUAUUGCCCCACCUCCAUAGAUAAAAAUUGUGGAUUUGUUUUUUAGUGCAUCCCACAUUUCCAUCAAAUCCGAGAAUGUCCUGCAUCAACUGGACCAGAUUCAUCUAAAGAGGCGUUGAUCUGGAGUGAGGAAAACCUAUUGGAAUCUUCUCGUGAGAGAUCCGUUUGACAUGGAUGACCCGUUUUUGGCAGUAAACUUGAACGACUUUCCCUUCUCGGCCCUUGAAGGUUCCCCGAACGACCUGGACCUCGUCGUCCUUGCGAAUAGGCAUGGAGCGAACGUUGUACUUGCUGCGGAGGUUAGUGGAGAGUGGUGCGCUCAUCAGCACUCGUUGAACACUCGAUGACACCGUGAAGUAAGGGUGUUAGGAAAAAUGCAGCUGGAGGUUGCUCCCAAGAGGAUGUAGUUGCAGAAGAAGAAGACUUUGUGGGUGUGGUAGUGUGAUUAUGUGACUAAGCUUGACUGGCUAUGGAUGGAGAGACCCGUUUUGAGGGUUUCCGGCGAAAUUUAGUGGCGGGUAGUGGAUUCCAAUGAGUAUUGGACUGUGGUGGUGGAUAUGAGAGAGAAAAGAAGUGAUCAAGCUAGCACAAUCACUUGAUAUUUUGGCAUUCUUGGUAGAAUUAACAUAAAUAAAAGGCAUGAUUUUCAAGCAUCAAACUCAACUGAAACAAAGACAAAAUAAAUAGAAGUGGGAAAUAGACUUAACACAUUCAAGCGCCAAAACAAAAAUCCAAAUAUCAACAAGAAACAUGGUAUGACUGUAAAAAAAAAUAGAGAACCUAAGAUGUGAAAUGGUCAAACUUGAGCGAUUCCUCCUGAGCAAAUAUUGUCUAGCUUCCAGCAAGCUGCAAUCUCCCUCAUCUGUUGCUCAUUUUCUCAUCCCUCGCUAUCUCUGUUUUUUCACGUUAUGCCAUUUUCCCUUUAUUUUCCUUCCUCUCCAAGCUUCUACCAACCCCACUCGUUCCAUUGCUCCUUGCUCAGAAGCUGUUAAGAAAAAAAUAAAAAUAAAAAAUAAAAAAAAUCCCCCAUCUCAACCACCACCAUGGCAAGGUGGUGGUGUCCUUGGCCAUGCGUCCCAUGCAUGCAACUCACUUGGAAAGUCGACCACCUACUCCUCCAAGAUGUUGCUAGCUCUUCCUAUUAUGGUAAAAAAAUAAAAAAAAAAGGAAAAAAAACUUUUGGUCCACAAAGGGGUCUACAAUAAUAGAGUGAUCAAGUGUUUAGGUUGUUUAUUUCUUAUUAUUAUAUAAAUAUUGUUAAAUGUUAAAUUGCAUGUUUUUAUUAAUAUUUGAAAGGUUAGACUUAUUUAUAUUUAGAUGUUAAAAAUAUUUAAAAAUUAGUUAUUAUAUUUUUUAAUUUGACUUUAAAAUUAAUAAUAUAAAAAUGGUAAUUUAAUAUAUUUUAAAAUAUACCAAAAUAUCAUAAUUUAUUACUAUAAUAAAAUUUUAUAAUAAUUAAUUAUAUAAUUGGUUGAAAAUUGAUAAUUACAUAAUAAUUAGGAUUUUUAAUUAUACUUGGUAGUUAAUAAAAUGUUAGAAAUUUUCUUAGUUAAAACUUAUUUUUAUGUAACCUAUCUUGGGAUUUAUGAAUAAUAUAGUUGAGAUUAAUUUAUUAAAUUUUUAAUUUUUAAUUUGGGAAAAAUAUUAAAAUCUAAAUUUUAUUUUUUAAAUUAACUGAAAAUGUUUAUUCUAGUGAAUAAUUAGAUGAGUGUAAAUUAGGAAUAUAAGUUCAAGCUCAUGAACUAACUGAACCAAUUUUAACCAAUCCAUUGUAGCCUAAUUAGUUUGGUUUUUCAUUUAAAGACGUUUGGUUCAGCUUGCAAAAUAAAAAUAAAUAAAAAACUUAAAUAAGUGGUAUUUAUUUUUUUUUGUCUAAAGUCUGAAUGGAAUAUUAUUAAGUGUUUAGGUCAUUUAUUUUUUUAUUAAUGCUAAAUAUUUUUAAGUAUUAAAUUGCUUGUUUUUAGUAAUGUAUAAAGGUUUAAACUUAUUUAUUUUUACACAUUAAAAAUAACUAUAAAAUUAGUUAUUAUUAUUAUUAUUUUAAAUUAAUAAUUUAAGAAAUAGUAAUUUAAUAUAUUUACAACUAUCUCAAAAUAUUAUAAUUUAUUACCAUAACAAAAAAUUUAUAAUAAUUAAUUAUGUAAUUUAUACAAAAUUAAUAAUUAGAUAAUUAUUAGGAUUUUUAGUUAUGCUUGGUUGUUAAGAAAAUGUUAAAAAAUUUCUAAGUUAAAUUUUAUUUUUAUAUAAUAUAUUUUCAGAUUUAUGAAUAUUGUUGAGAUUAAUUAUUAAUUUUUUUCUUUUUAAUUUGGGAAAAAUAAGAAAGACUAAAAUUUUAGUUUUCAAAAUUAAUUGGAAUUUUUUUAUUCUAAUGAACAAUUAGAUAAGUGUAAAUUCAAGGACAUGAACGACCCUAAUUUGACUUCAACCAGUCCAAUCUAGUCUAAUUAGUUUGGUUUUCAAUUAAAGAUAUUUGAUUUAGUUUGCAAAACAAAAAAAAAAACACACCAAAAAAACAAAAACAAAAAAUGCUUACGUGUUCAUUUGAAAACAAUGAACCAAUGGGAAGUGAACCUACCUAACCUUGUCUAUUAUAUAUGCUACUUAAUCAAUGUCAUUCGGUUUGAAUUAAGAAAAUUUGUAGUAAAUUUAUUUUUUAGUCUAGAUUUUAUAAUUUUAUUAUUCAAUGAGGAGUAUACAUAAAUUUAUGAAAUUUAGUCUAAUUGAAAUUGGAUGAAUUAUGUAUGAGAUAAAAAUAAUGGCUAUUUGCUAUAGAAUGUUGAUUUUAGUUUUAAACUUUUUAGAUUUAAUAUAAAUUUAUUUUAGAUUAAUUUUUUAUCCAAAUUAAGUAAUUUUAAUAUUGUUUGUUUAAUUAUUAGUAGCAAUUCACUGAGAAUAUUUUAGCUAUAAAUUAUCUUGAUAAAAAAUAGAAUGAAUAAAUAAAGCAAAGCCUAUUGAACGUAUAGUAGGAUUUUUUAUGACAAAUUUACUAAUCUAUGAUACAAUCAUUUAUCACUCACAUUACACAAAAUUGAAAUAAAUUAUUCUUUAAAAAAAAAAAUUAAGAGAUGUGGAAAAUUUUCAAAAAUAAAUUUGGUUUAUUUUGUAUAACGAAUUAAAUUUGAGUACUAUGAUAAAGUUAAUGGUUGAAAGGAGAGAAAAUAACUUUUUUCUAGUAAGAUAAAAGUUAUAAAAAAAAUUACUUUUUCUGUUGAGACAAAAUUGUCUUUAAAAAAUGUUAAAUUAAAAAAAAACUAUAAAAAUAUAUUGAAUCUUAAAACAAGUUACUUUUAGACUUAAAAGUGUUGGAAAUCAAGCCCACGUCGCCUUCCUGCUUGUGCAUGUUCCUCCCCAUAUUUAGCAUCCUCUGUUUACUUCCCUAAAUUAGUGUAAUGUACAACCUUUAUUAUAAUUGAUUUAGGAGUAAUUCUAGCAAGGUAGUUUAUUCACUUUCCAUGUAAGAGUUUAUUCACUUUCCAUGUAACACUUUCCAUGUAAGGGAAAUUCCGUCCGUGAUAGUGUACCAUUCCGGAAUUGUCUCAUAUCUAUAGGAUAUUUAUUUAUGCUUUCUUUCAUUGUAAAAAAAAAAAAAAAAAAGUAUCACAGAAUGAAUUGAGUAUGUGUUCCUCCAUAGUUUGUCUUCAAAUUCUUCAUGGUAUCAGAGCAGGUUUAAUCCUGUCUCAUCGUCUUCAUCUUUAGUCAGUAUUUUUUUUUUCCUACUCAAUUCUAUUCUUCUAGUUUAUGCCUAAAUACGGUCCAGCCUUUGGAAUGGCUACCAACUCAUCAUCCUCUACUUCUGAUAUCAUCAUCUCAUCGUCUUCAUCCUCUCAUCAGAUGGAAACCUCUCAUCUUCCAAUCACAGCCCAUAAACUGAAUGGGCAAAAUUAUUUGCAAUGGUCUCAGUCCAUAUUAAUGUUUAUACGGGGAAAGGAGAAAGAUGACUACAUCACCGGAGCUUCGGCGGCACCAGAAACCACAGCAUCAACCUACAAAAAGUGGAUAGCAGAAAAUAAUAUGGUCAUGUCCUGGCUAGUCAACUCUAUGACCACUGACAUUGGUGAAAAUUUUUUGUCAUUUGAUACUGCCAAAGAAAUCUGGGACAUUGCAAAAGAAACUUUCUCAGACAAGGAAAACACAUCUGAAAUCAUCCAGAUUGAAGGCAUCCUCCACGAUUUGCGUCAAGGUAACCUUACGGUAACUGAAUAUUUCAAUACUCUUACUCGUCUAUGGCGUCAACUUGAUACGUUUGAGGUUCAUAACUGAAAUUGUGUUACAGAUGGUUUGUUGUAUAAAAAGAUUGUCGAAGGGAAACGUGUGUUUAAAUUUUUGUUAGGCUUGAACAAAAAUCUUGAUGAAAUCAGAGGAAGAAUCAUGGGAGUAAAACCUCUACCUAGCCUCAGAAAGGCAUUCUCUGAAGUCCAUCGCGAAGAAAGUCGGAAAAAUCUAAUGAUGGGAUCCCAUCAACAACUGAAUAUGGCAGAAAGCUCGGCUCUUAAGACUCAAUUUGCUCCUUUUGACAACUGUCAAAAAAUUAAAGGAGGUAGACCUUGGUGUGAUCAUUGCAGAAAGCCGGGACACUCAAGAGAAAUUUGCUGGAAGAUUCAUGGAAAGCCAGUAGAUUGGAAGCCACGUCAACCACUUGAGAAAGAAGGACGAGGCAAUCAUGUGGCUACCGAUGAACAAUCGCCACAACCUGAAGCUAGCCCUUUUAAUAAGUAGCAAAUGGAGAUGCUUCAGAAACUACUGUCUCCUCUUUUGUCAGUACAGUCACAAACUGGCUAAUCUUCCAACCAGGUCAUUGGUUCCGGAACCUUGGCUCACAAAGGUAAUUUUUUGAGUGCCUUCACUGCUGGUAAGAAACGUAAAAAACCUUGGAUAGUGGACUCAGGAGCAUCUGAUCAUAUGACGGGAGAUGCGACAAUUUUUGAUACAUAUAGCUCAUGUCCAAAUAAUUUAACAGUCCGAAUAGCAGAUGGUUCACUAUCAAAGGUUGCCGAAACAGGUUCAGUUGUGCUAUCAAGGGAUCUUACUCUCAACUCUGUUCUCCUUGUUCCUAACUUGGACUAUAAUCUAUUGUCAAUUAGUAAACUCACUAAGGAAAAGAGGUGUAUUACUAAUUUUUCCUCUACUCACUGUGAAUUUCAGGAUUUGGAUUCGGGGAAGACGAUUGGCAAUGCUGAGGAAUGCUCUGGACUCUACAUCCUUAAGGAGCGCCACGAUCCACAAGAACAACCUCAAAUGACAGUUGGUAGUAAUUCUUUUUCGGUUUCAUGUCAAAAUAACGAUAAUGCAAUUAGGUUGUGGCACUAUCGCUUAGGUCAUCCAAAUGUUAUGUAUCUCAAGCAUUUAUUUCCUUCAUUAUUUAAUAAAAAUCCACAAUCCUUUGAGUGUGAAAUCUGUCAAUUAUCAAAGCAAGUCCGGUCUCAUUUUCCCAUUCAACCCUAUAAAGAGUCUAGUCCAUUCUCAAUGAUUCAUAGCGAUAUCUGGGGUCCAUCAAGAAUAAAAAAUGUAACUGGUACUAGGUGGUUUGUCUCAUUCAUAGAUGAUCACACUAGAUUAACUUGGGUAUUCCCUCAUGAAAAGAAAAAAUCUGAAACGAGUCAAAUUUCCAAAAAUUUUAAAAAUAUGAUUCAAACCCAAUUCCAGUCAAAAAUAUAAAUUCCAAAAGUCCUGAUAAUGCUAGGGAUUAUUUCCAUUCUAGGAGAAUUUCUAGCACAAGAAGGGAUAGUUCACUUAAGUUCAUGUGUUGAUACCCCACAACAAAACGGAAUCGCUGAAAGGAAAAAUAGGCAUUUGUUAGAGGUGGCUAGAUCACUAAUGUUCUCCAUGAAUGUUCCAAAAUUAUUAUGGGGGCAAGCUGUCCUUACGGCAGCCUACCUCAUCAAUAGGAUGCCGUCUAGGGUACUAAAAUUCCAAACACCUUGUCAAACACUCCUAAAAUCCUUUCCGACUACUCGUCUCAUCUCCACCGUCCCACCCAAAAUUUUCGGGUGCUCUGUCUUUGUUCAUAUCAAUCAACAACAUAGAAGUAAACUUGAUCCUAGGUCACUCAAGUGCAUCUUUCUUGGGUAUUCUUCAAAUCAAAAAGGGUAUAAGUGUUACUCCCCGGUCACAAGAAAAUUCUACAAUUCAAUGGAUGUCACUUUUUUUGAAACUCAGCCUUACUAUCCUAAAAACGAUAUUCAGGGGGAGAAUUCAACUCAGGAAUAUCAAUUUUGGGAUCUUGAGUCAUUCAGUGAGUCACCCAUCACCACUGAAAAUCACAUUCCUCCAGAGUCAUUUAAUCAGCCCGAGUCCAUUGUUGACUUGUGGGAUAAGGACCACAUCCAAGAGGAAACGGAGGAAGGAGCACUUUCUCAACAAACCCAUGAGGCUGAACCGGGUCCUAAUCCAAGCAAACUUCCAGGUAACAACGCUCCUGAUGGUACUGUUGAUUCCGAGUUAGAAAAUGAUAUUCUUAAUAUGCCCAUAGCUUGAAGGAAAGGAGUUAGAUCAUGCACUCAGCAUCCCAUUGGAAAUUUUAUUUCUUAUGAUAAGCUAUCACCUACGUUUCGUGCAUUCACUUCUAGCAUCACAGAGAUACAAGUUCCUCGGAAUAUUCAGGAAGCUUUCAAGUAUCCUAAGUGGAAGGCGGCAGUCGAUGAGGAAGUUCGGGCGUUGGAAAAGAAUGGUACGUGGGAAAUUACUAACCUCCCAAGAGGUAAGAAACCAGUUGGGUGUAAGUGGAUUUUCACAGUAAAAUACAAGGCAGAUGGUAAUGUGGACAGGUAUAAGGCUCGGUUGGUCGCCAAAGGAUUCACCCAAUCCUAUGGCAUUGACUAUCAAGAAACUUUUGCUCCAGUUGCCAAGCUCAAUACUGUUCGUGUACUUUUAUCCUUGGCAGCUAAUCUCGAUUGGUCGCUUCACCAACUUGAUGUGAAGAAUGCCUUCCUCAAUGGUGACUUAGAGGAAGAAGUUUACAUGGACAUUCCUGCUGGACUUGAGAUGACAUCAAAUUUCAACAAGGUUUGCAGACUCCAAAAAUCCUUGUAUGGUCUCAAACAAUCUCCCAGGGCCUGGUUUGAACGGUUCACUAAGGUAGUGAAAGGGUACGGAUUCGUUCAAUGUCACUUCCCAGAAGGGAAGCUGGCAAUUAUCAUUAUAUAUGUGGACGACAUAAUUUUGACAGGUGAUCAUGAAGAGAAAAUUGACUUACUUAAAAAAUUACUGACAAAGGAAUUUGAGAUCAAGGAUCUUGGAAACCUCAAGUACUUUCUCGGAAUGGAGAUUGCUAGGUCAAAGAAAGGUAUAGCAGUCUCACAACGCAAAUACGUUCUGGACUUAUUGAAUGAAACAGGAAUGCUAGGAUGCAAGCCGACAGAAACACCUAUGGAUACAACUAUCAAACUGGAAGAAAGUGAUGGAAGUGCGCCAGUUGAUAAAGGAAG
rnacentral:lncRNA from 1 species